AAUGACAUCUCCUUAAUCGGAGAGUUCCCUUCGGGGACAUUGGUGACAGGUGGUGCAUGGUUGUCGUCAGCUCGUGUCGUGAGAUGUUGGGUUAAGUCCCGCAACGAGCGCAACCCUUGUCUUUAGUUGCCAUCAUUAAGUUGGGCACUCUAGAGAGACUGCCAGGGAUAACCUGGAGGAAGGUGGGGAUGACGUCAAAUCAUCAUGCCCCUUAUGCUUAGGGCUACACACGUGCUACAAUGGGUAGUACAGAGGGUUGCCAAGCCGUAAGGUGGAGCUAAUCCCUUAAAGCUACUCUCAGUUCGGAUUGUAGGCUGAAACUCGCCUACAUGAAGCUGGAGUUACUAGUAAUCGCAGAUCAGAAUGCUGCGGUGAAUGCGUUCCCGGGUCUUGUACACACCGCCCGUCACACCACGGGAGUUGGAGACGCCCGAAGCCGAUUAUCUAACCUUUUGGAAGAAGUCGUCGAAGGUGGAAUCAAUAACUGGGGUGAAGUCGUAACAAGGUAGCCGUAUCGGAAGGUGCGGCUGGAUCACCUCCUUUCUAAGGA
rnacentral:rRNA from 1 species